GAUGAACGCUGGCGGCGUGCCUAAUACAUGCAAGUCGAGCGAACAGAUAAGGAGCUUGCUCCUUUGACGUUAGCGGCGGACGGGUGAGUAACACGUGGAUAACCUACCUAUAAGACUGGGAUAACUUCGGGAAACCGGAGCUAAUACCGGAUAACAUAUUGAACCGCAUGGUUCAAUAGUGAAAGGCGGCUUUGCUGUCACUUAUAGAUGGAUCCGCGCCGUAUUAGCUAGUUGGUAAGGUAACGGCUUACCAAGGCAACGAUACGUAGCCGACCUGAGAGGGUGAUCGGCCACACUGGAACUGAGACACGGUCCAGACUCCUACGGGAGGCAGCAGUAGGGAAUCUUCCGCAAUGGGCGAAAGCCUGACGGAGCAACGCCGCGUGAGUGAUGAAGGUCUUCGGAUCGUAAAACUCUGUUAUCAGGGAAGAACAAGUGUGUAAGUAACUGUGCACAUCUUGACGGUACCUGAUCAGAAAGCCACGGCUAACUACGUG
rnacentral:rRNA from 1 species